rnacentral:rRNA from 1 species
AUUGAACGCUGGCGGCAGGCCUAACACAUGCAAGUCGAGCGGAUGAAGGGAGCUUGCUCCUGGAUUCAGCGGCGGACGGGUGAGUAAUGCCUAGGAAUCUGCCUGGUAGUGGGGGAUAACGUCCGGAAACGGGCGCUAAUACCGCAUACGUCCUGAGGGAGAAAGUGGGGGAUCUUCGGACCUCACGCUAUCAGAUGAGCCUAGGUCGGAUUAGCUAGUUGGUGGGGUAAAGGCCUACCAAGGCGAAGAUCCGUAACUGGUCUGAGAGGAUGAUCAGUCACACUGGAACUGAGACACGGUCCAGACUCCUACGGGAGGCAGCAGUGGGGAAUAUUGGACAAUGGGCGAAAGCCUGAUCCAGCCAUGCCGCGUGUGUGAAGAAGGUCUUCGGAUUGUAAAGCACUUUAAGUUGGGAGGAAGGGCAGUAAGUUAAUACCUUGCUGUUUUGACGUUACCAACAGAAUAAGCACCGGCUAACUUCGUG